GGGUCAGUAGGUUGGUCGUGCCACCGGUCCGUACUGGUCUCACUGAUUCCUCCUUCCUGAAGAACCGUAAUGCCAUUAAUUUGGUGUUGCGGGGAAACAGGACUUUUACUUUGAAAAAAUUAGAGUGUUUAAAGCAAGCUAACGCUUGAAUACAUUAGCAUGGAAUAAUGAAAUAGGACGAUCGAUCCUAUUUUGUUGGUUUCUAGGAUUGACGUA
rnacentral:rRNA from 1 species